rnacentral:rRNA from 1 species
GCCUAGUCAUGCAACCCCAGCGAAGAGAUGGGAGCUUGCUCCCUGACCUUAGCGGCGGACGGGUGAGUAACACGUGGGCAACCGGCCCUGCAGACUGGGAUAACUCCGGGAAACCGGAGCUAAUACCGGGUAAUACAUCGCACCGCAUGGUGCAAUGUUGAAAGUUGGCUUUCUGAGCUAACACUGCAGGAUGGGCCCGCGGCGCAUUAGCUAGUUGGUAAGGUAAUGGCUUACCAAGGCAACGAUGCGUAGCCGACCUGAGAGGGUGAUCGGCCACACUGGGACUGAGACACGGCCCAGACUCCUACGGGAGGCAGCAGUAGGGAAUCUUCCGCAAUGGACGAAAGUCUGACGGAGCAACGCCGCGUGAGUGACGAAGGCCUUCGGGUCGUAAAGCUCUGUUGUUAGGGAAGAACAAGUACCGUUCGAAUAGGGCGGUACCUUGACGGUACCUAACCAGAAAGCCACGGCUAACUACGUGCCAGCAGCCGCGGUAAUACGUAGGUGGCAAGCGUUGUCCGGAAUUAUUGGGCGUAAAGCGCGCGCAGGCGGUCUUUUAAGUCUGAUG